CAUAAAGAAUUUUUCUACUUUAUAAAUAAAUCUGGCAAGACUUAUCCUCUUUCUCCCUUCUCUUCUUAGGUUGAGUAACUAGAGCAAACUUUAAAGAAAAAGGACAGCAUAUGGUGAAUGGACCCAGGAUAGCUUCAGACCAUGUGGGAAUUCGAUUGGAGGAGGUAAGAAUCAAGUGAGUCAAAGUGAUGAAAGAUACCAAAAUGAUCCUUCAGUGCCAAGGACCAGCGUCAACCUAAGGAAUAUGUGAUGCAGAAGAUACUACAUUUCUUGCGUUCUCAAUUGGGUUGAAAGACUAGGGGAAAAACACCCAACAUUUCUGACCAGUUUUCCUUCAUAUGGAACCCCUUGGGAGCUCUUCAUCAAGGUUACAAGGCAUGUGAAUCUGACCCUUUCCUAUAACAUUUGCAAACGGCUCUGCACAAACAAGAAGACAUUGUUUCUCUCCCUUCUUCAAAUUGCCCACGGGUUUUUUGGUGAUGAAUAGAACUUUUUUCCUGAACCCGGCCAGACUUAACCAUGUCCACUUCUUCCUCCUUUCCUUCUCCUGCCUCCCCACUCCUACUCUCAUCAAAAUAUUCAUUUGAAGACUUGUCAAAUGAAUGGGCCAGGUACUGAUUUAUGGUGUGUGAAAGAUGGACCAUAGGAUCAUAGGGUGAUAAAUUUAGAGUUGUGUGGAACCUUAGAAGUCAUCAAGUCCCACCCACUGUUUUUACAGAUGAGGAAACUGAGAUUCAGAGUUAUUACAUUGAUUUGCUCAAGAUCACUCAGCUGGUAAGUACCCAAAGCAGGAUUAGGCUAGACUAGUGAAAUGGAUGUUCUCAAAAUGCCAGAUUUAGGGCUGGAGAGGAC
rnacentral:lncRNA from 1 species